UACGGAGGGUGCAAGCGUUAAUCGGAAUUACUGGGCGUAAAGCGCGCGUAGGUGGUUUGGUAAGCGAGAUGUGAAAGCCCCCGGGCUUAACCUGGGAACGGCAUUUCGAACUGUCAGACUAGAGUGUGGUAGAGGGUAGUGGAAUUUCCUGUGUAGCGGUGAAAUGCGUAGAUAUAGGAAGGAACACCAGUGGCGAAGGCGGCUACCUGGACCAACACUGACACUGAGGUGCGAAAGCGUGGGGAGCAAACAGGAUUAGAUACCCCCGUAGU
rnacentral:rRNA from 1 species